rnacentral:rRNA from 1 species
GUAGUCCACACCCUAAACGAUGAAUACUAGAUGUUGGUCCUUUUUAGGAUCAGUAUCCAAGCUAACGCAUUAAGUAUUCCACCUGGGAAGUACAAUCGCAAGGUUGAAACUCAAAGGAAUUGACGGGGGCCCGCACAAGCAGUGGAGCAUGUGGUUUAAUUCGACGCAACGCGAAGAACCUUACCUAGGCUUGAAACGCAAGUUAAUCCUGAUGAAAGUCAGGGUGCCGCAAGGCGAACUUGUACAGGUGCUGCAUGGCUGUCGUCAGCUCGUGCCGUGAGGUGUUGGGUUAAGUCCCGCAACGAGCGCAACCCUCGUUCUUAGUUGCCAUCAGGUAAUGCUGAGCACUCUAAGAAGACUGCCUACGCAAGUAGUGA